rnacentral:rRNA from 1 species
CAAACCUCUAAUCGGAAAAGACUACCCGCUGAGUUUAAGCAUAUCAAUAAGCGGAGGA